rnacentral:RNase_P_RNA from 1 species
GCCGGCCAGACGGUCGCGCAAGGCAAAAACCACAUCUGUGGGGACCCGAAAGGGCGCCUGUGAGGAAAGUCCGAGCUCCAUAGGGCAGGAUGCUGGAUAACGUCCAGUGGAGGCGACUCCCAGACCAGUGCAACAGAAAUAAACCGCCAUGCCUCCGCAUGGUAAGGGUGGAAAGGCGGGGUAAGAGCCCACCGCCUUCCUGGUGACAGGAAGGGCUCUGUAAACUCCAUCCGGAGCAAGACCGAACAGGGAGCGAUACGGCGGCCCGUCGUGCUUCCGGGUAGGUCGCGUGAGACCGGCGGCAACGCCGGCCCAAGAUAGAUGACCGUCCAACGACAGAA